GUGAGGAACAUUCCCUGCUUUUUGAUUUUUCUUAUUUAUUUUAAGGAAGUAGUAGGGGGCAGUCCUGAUACUCUCAGUGGUGUGGUCCAUUUUUCUUAAAUGAAUCUUUCAACUGUCAGCAGCAUCCAAAUCAACAAAUUUAUUCAAAGCUGCUCUAUCAAUCGAACCCACGAUGUGGAACUCUUUUUGGACGAAGAGAGAGAAAAAAAUAUCCCCACAUGCUCAAAAAGCUAUUUUGAAUAUAAUUUUGGGCUUGAGAAGCAACUCGCUUAAUUUUUUGUUUAUGCCGUGGCGAACGUGACCAUUGUCAGAACACCUCAGCACGGAGAAUUCUCAUUUUCCUGCCCUUCUACGCAUGCAACACCCAUAAUUUACCAUGUUGCUGUGCAACAGUGCUCACAUGAGGAGUUGCAUCAAGGACUGCACUCCCCAAAAGGGAGAGAAAGAUGGCCCUUUAGGGACUAGAAAGUUUCAUUUUUGCUUGAACAAAAAGAAACUAUUUCUUUUUCUUUUAUUUCUAUUCCAAGCAAUAAAUUGUUCGUGUUUUCCAUUUAUCAUAACCCACGGAGUGUAGACACACAUAUGUUGUACAUACAUACAUAUAUGUUGUACCCUGUUGCAAGUCAUAUGGCUUUUAUACUCUUGCAUUAUUUUCAUGCGUUCUAAACAUCGCUAAUUUAUAGCCCAAGUGAACUUUUAAUAGUCAUAAAAUAUUGAGAUUCGGUAAGAUUAUUCAAACCAAUAUAUUGGUAAAAAUUUACAAAAGAGACACUAUCUCAGCUGGAGCCUCACACACAUGAGUGCCAUGGCCCAAUGGGACUCCUCCACAUUACUGAAACACUUGAUUUGCCAUACUUCUGCAGCUCAUGUUGCAGGUUAAUAUGACAUUUAAGCGCUUUGGGUAUGGCACAGCGAAGGGAAGUCCCCACAGCCUGAAAAAUCUAUUUUGAAAAAAAUCAUUAGGAAUUCCCAAAUCUCCCCUCGAGCGCAGAUUUCUCACGAAAUGAAAUUCUCCCCCAGAGUUUCCUUUAUGCCUUCUUACAACUCGGAUGCGAAGAUUGCAUCACAUAUGGUUCGUGCUUUUUUUGUACUGAGCGACAAUCAAGCUAGGAUCUGAUGCAAGA